AUGGAGUUCACACGGAAGGAGCAGUUUGAUGCGUACGUCGAUUUGAUAUUGGCGGCACGGCAGAAGGGGACGGUGAAGGCGGCGGAGGAGGCGGAGAGGAGGAAGACAGCUAUCGCCCCCAAAAACAAAAAGAAGAGCGCGCGGAAGGCGGCGGCUCUGGAGUGGGCGAGGAAGAGUUUGGACGCAGAGAGGGCCAAGGACGGGAGCAGCUUCAAGCCCAAGACGGUGACCGAGGAAGACGUCGCGGCGGCGGCCGUGUACAGAGCCAAGGGGGAGGAGGCGCACAGGAACCAGGAUCGGAAGGGGGAGCUGGACGCCGUCAUCAAGUGGAUCGGGACGGGAGACCCCGAAGCAAUCAGGAUCUCGAACCAGUGGGUGGAUGAAAACAUGGCGGCCAUGAAGCUGCAGGCGCUCGAUCCCACCGAGUACUGGGAGGCCGUCGAUGCCAGGAGGCACCGGGAAUCCGGGGAAUCUCUGUGGGUCGACUCCUGCGGUUCCUCACCUACCCAGCCCAUGUGUCACACGGACGACAAGCCUCCGCGUGGGCGCGGUACAGCAUUCCCCAUGCGAACUCUGCAGGUCUUUUCGGUCAGGGUUGGAGCGAUCACAGGUGGAUUGGACUGGCCUCUGGAUGUCUAUGGUGUCGUUGCCGCACGUGACUCAUUCGAUCAGAAUCACAACAUCAUCUUCAACCGCACCAGGGAUAACUGCCAAACCAUUGACAAGAAGAAUCCAUGUCUGAGACUGACAGGUCCUACCCGCGCUGUUGUUGUUGUGGAUCCUGCGUCCUUUGAGGUUAACUUGCGAGUUAAGGGCAGAACUGAAUCAGAGGACAGAGAAUUGAGUAAUCUAGUUUUUUAUUAUCAUGAUUCUGGUUCUAGUGAAUCAUACGCGAUUAAACGUGUCAGCACCAGCAAGCUUAGCACAGUGACAUUGAUGCUGGGUGAUAUUGUUAAUUCAGUGGAGGCCACCAUCAGUGUGAGAGUUGUUGGUGGGGAAUGGCCAGAAGGUUUUCAAGGUCUAAUUUCUGUCAAUACGGCCAGUAUUGAUGCCAAGAAAGUCGAGUUGCUUGCGUUCGGAGAUAAGUUGCCUCUUGCAGCUGAUGGCAUGAUACAGCUUUCACGACAUGUUGUAUCUGUUGAAGCUAAUGGAGAGUUGAUAGUCUCCGUCAUGGCAACUAGCUUGGAGGAUCAAACUGUUGAGAGAGAUUCAGAAGCAUUCAGAGCCAAGAAAGCCUCCAGGAGCAUGCGUAUGCUUGAAGUUCACCGUUGUAAGUUUGAAGUCACUGUCGCAUGCUCUUGUCCAGAACCGACCUCAUUUCCACAAACUUACAAAUGA
rnacentral:rRNA from 1 species